GACGAACGCUGGCGGCGUGCUUAACACAUGCAAGUCGAACGAAGUGGCGAACGGGUGAGGAACGCGUAAUCAACCUGCCAUUCAGAGGGGGACAACAGUUGGAAACGACGGCUAAUACCGCAUACUGAAGGAGGGGAUGGCGUCUGAUUGGAUAGUUGGAGGGGGAACGGCACACCAAGGCGAUGAGCAGUAGGCGGUCUGAGAGGUUGAACGGCCACAUUGGGACUGAGACACGGCCCAGAGUCCUACGUGAGGCAGCAGUGGGGAAUCUGCCGCAAUGGACGAAAGUCUGACGGAGCAACGCCGCGUGAGUGAUGACGGCCUUCGGGUUGUAAAGAUCUGGUAAUCGGGACGCGGUACCGGAAUAGAAAGCCACGGCUAACUACGUGCCAGCAGCCGCGGUAAUUC
rnacentral:rRNA from 1 species